GCCAAUGUAGCUCAGUCGGUAGAGCAGCUGAUUCGUAAUCAGCAGGUCACAGGUUCGAGUCCUGCCAUUGGCUCCA
rnacentral:tRNA from 1 species